rnacentral:lncRNA from 1 species
GUUAAAGCCUCUUGAGGUAUUGUGGUCACAAUUGUUUGUAUCAAAACAUUUGGCUAAUGAUAAGUUGAUGUUGAGUUAAAAAAAAAAAAUUGAAACGAAUGCACUUUUGUGACCAAUAAAUAAUUCGUAUGUAGUUGGAACAAUAAAAAAUUGGUUACUUUUCUUCAUCUUCUCCAUCAUCACCUUUCUCUUCUCCUCAGCUUAUCACCAUAACCUCCAUAUCUACCGCUUCCUCCACCUCAACCACAACAACCUCCACUUCAGUAUCCACCACCACCUCGACCACGACCUUCACCUCCAUAUCCUCCACCCUCACGUCUUUCACCUCCACUGUAUC